GUUGGCGGGGAGAAUGGAAAUCACCGCUAUCUUGUGAUAGCCUUGGGUUAAUCUUAGUUUUAACAUAAUUUUAAGUCUUAACUUGCAUGCAAUUUACUUAAUAGGUGACACUUCCCCAUCGGUAGGGGAAAUGCACAAGGUAUUUUGCAUCAAAGAGGGUGUAUCACCCUUGGAGAUGCUGGGAAGUGGAGAUAUUCUUGAGAAAUUCAAGAGUUUUUUACUUCUCUACUCUACUAAGUAUCUUUAAGAGUGAGAGACUCUCAUAGAUACUGUAGAGUACAACAUUCACGCCUGGCGGUCCUUAGUUUAGUGAUAAGUUCAAUCUAUGAUUAGCAACUAUUUAUCAUCAUUUUUUGAUACUUUAAAAUUAGAGAUAUUCUUGAGAAAUUCAAGGGUUCUCUAAUGAGUAUCAUUGAGAGUAAGAAACUCUUAUUGAUACUGUCUUGUACAAACAUACACUCCUGUUGAUUCAGGUAUUCUCUUAGUUCAGUCCAAGUUAAGAUUUGUAACUGUUUAUCUACAUUAUAUAAAAUUGCUUUGUUUUGUAAGUGCUUUACAAGUUUGUUGCAGCUUAGCCUACCAAAUGAAUCCAAGUGCACCAUUGUAGAUAUUUUUUAAAAGCAGGAUUGAUGAACAACUAAACAAACAAUAUUGUGGAGAUACAUGUGAAUUAUAAUGGAGAUGCCACCAGCUAUUCAAUGCAUUGGAGAGCAGCUCUACUACCAAAGUGGAGAUGUGGAUCACUGGAUGUGGAUUGAUGAACAACUAAAC